AGAAUCAACGCUGGCGGCGUGCCUAACACAUGCAAGUCGAACGAGAAAGUGGUAGCAAUACCAUGAGUACAGUGGCGCACGGGUGAGUAACACGUGACUAACCUACCCUGGAGUGGGGGAUAACUGAGGGAACCUUAGCUAAUACCGCAUAAUACCUACGGGUCAAAGGAGCAAUUCGCUUCAGGAGGGGGUCGCGGCCGAUUAGUUAGUUGGCGGGGUAAUGGCCCACCAAGACAGUGAUCGGUAU
rnacentral:rRNA from 1 species